rnacentral:rRNA from 1 species
AAGACGAGGAUAACGACUGGAAACGGUCGCUAAAACUGGAUAGGAUCAUUUGAGGCAUCGUCGAAUGAUUUAAAGGGGCUUCAAGCCACACUUAGAGAAAGGCCUGCGGCGCAUUAGCUAGUUGGUGGGGUAGAGGCCUACCAAGGCGAUGAUGCGUAGCCGGACUGAGAGGUCGAACGGCCACAUUGGGACUGAGACACGGCCCAAACUCCUACGGGAGGCAGCAGUAGGGAAUUUUCGGCAAUGGGGGAAACCCUGACCGAGCAACGCCGCGUGAAUGAAGAACCGUAUUUCGGUAUGUAAAGUUCUUUUAUUAAGGAAGAAUAUCACGGAUAGGAAAUGAUCUGUGAGUGACGGUACUUAAUGAAUAAGCCCCGGCUAACUAUGUGCCAGCAGCGGC